CUUUUCAGUUUCAACAAAAUACAGACUCUUCCUUUUCUCCUACUCUCAGCCGUUUCUAGGUUUCAAGUUCGUUUAAAACCUUUCUCUCAUACACUGCUUCUCCUUGCUCCAACGAUUGCCCUCUAGAUCGAUUUCCAGCACCUCCUCCGUCUGGAACACCCUCAUCAUCGGCUUCAUCUGCGACUAGGAGCCCCUCGACGCCCUCCUUCUCUACGCCCACGUGAGAGCCGCCACUUCCCCCCACCCACUUCGAUUCCUACAGAGAACCCCCAACAUAUGCCUCGCGGAUUUGAUUCUUUUGUGGUCGAUGGGUUUCUUUGGAGCUCCUUCAAGCCACGUUUGCAAUUGAGAUAUUAUGACCCCUUGAUUUCUGACGUUUUCACUCGAUCAGAAGCAUCUUACUGUGAACUGAAGCAAUUAACAGUAGUCGCUCACUCUUCAGUUUUUCAGUAGAUUAGGGGAGACUGUUUAGUUUUCAAUUUUUCAUCAUGUGUAUCAUUUUACAGGUUGGGGACAGCGGUGCUUUUCCUCGAGUGAUCAGGCGGUGAACUUUGGAAGCGUUAUCUUCUUCGACAUUGGUAUGAACCCUUAGUUAUAUGCCUUCUUAAAUUUUGGUUCUUAUGUUUUUACCUUUUGAGGAUGCAUCAAAAUGAUUUCUUUCUCUUCUGUGGUCCUGAAUGUGAUAUUGAUGGCGCACCUGGCGACAGAGUUGCUGCAACGGCUGCAACGCAGCCCCGUCCCCUCUCUGCUGAUAUGAAAUCGGUGUCUGCAGAAUUAAUCGCUCAUGGAUUUGCCUUUGGCCAUAGAGGAAGAAAGGUCAACUUGAAGUGAAUGUUGAAGCUUUCAUCAAUGAAACAUCAUUCUUGGCUAGCAAUGGUCAGCAUGAAGUACUGAGUUUAAAGUGCAAGGUCUGCUAUUCCAUGUAUUUUUUGUUAUUUAUAUGAUUUUCUUCUCUUGAUUUUCCUUUGUUUGCAUUUGUAGUACAUAUGUAUUGGAUCACUUUCUUUUGUUCUUCACAAAUCAGGUGCUUCAUUCUUCUGUUUGUGCUUCUCUGGGAAUUUUCAGAAAUCUCCAACCAAAUAUCAAGUGAGUAAAAUUUUUUUAUUUGCAGUACAUGUUUUGUCCUUCUUCCCUCACUGUGUUUGUUGUUCUUCCCUCUGUGUGUAUUAUCCUUCACUACUAUUGUGUCUGAAAUUGCAGCCCUUGCUGCUUUACAGAUUACAAUUCUGCAAGUGUUUCUCCUCUUUUUGUACCUUUUUUUUUUGACUAAAUUGCAUGCAAAUGUUGGUGCUCUUAUUCUACUUCCAUAUAUCUAAAUUGAACCCUUUAACCUUAUUCUACAGCUUCGUUUUAACCUCUUUUCUUUCUUUUCUUCUAAGUUGAAAUCAUAUAACUAUUAAGUCAUGCUAUUUUUCAUUUAACUAUUUCAAACUUUUGAAAAAUGGGGAGAGCUUUGCUAUUGCUAACUACCACUGCACUUGCAAUUACUAUUCUGUAAGAAAGGUAAAAGAGUAGGAAGAAAGAAAUGAUUUAGCCAAAUAAGACCUGACUUGAAGGUUAUCAGCCCCAAGUACCAAUUACCAUGUAUAGAAAUAGAGAUGGCAGGAGUAGUGACUACUUUGGCUAAGUAGCAUAUGAAAGUGAAUGUAGGUUGAGGAAUAGUCAUUGAAAUGGACCCACAACUGAACAGCAAUCCACAGCUGAUAUGCUUAAAAACUUCAAAUUGAUGAGCAUGCAUGCAAUGUUGUUCUGAUUGUUUGUUACAUCAGACAUCAAUGAGCAGUUGGAACUUCCAUUGUUUUAGCUUCCAAAAUGGAAUUGUAAUCCUAAGAAUGGAAUUAAUCCAACAACUACCAAAAGAACCCAUCCUAGCCCCCUGAAAACUCUUGAGAACAAGGAGUUUCGUCUGAAAAUGCUGAGAAAAUCUAUAGGUCUGAAGGUGUUUUAACAGAAGCUGUGCAAAUUAUAAGAGAGCUUUAAGUAGAAGAGUCAAAGCAGAAUGAUUAAUGUUGGCUGUGAAAUAAUUAAAGGAUUGCUAAUUAGAAAAUAAAACCAAUGUGAUUUUAAUCUUGCUCUGUUGCUGUCCUUCGUUAGGAACCAUGCUAAACUUAAAGAAAGGGUGGUGUAAUCAAUAUGCUUAUUGAACCUGAUAACUUUCAAACUUCUAAGGCUUGACUCAGGACUUACCUUUGAUAGGUUUUCCUUUUAUUUUACUCUGUUGCUGUCCUUCAUUAGGAACCAUGCUAAACUUAAAGAAAGGGUGGUGUGAUCAAUAUGCUUAUUGAACCUGAUAACUUUCGAACUUCUAAGGCAUGACUUAGGGCUUACCUUUGAUAGGCUUUCCUUUUAUCUUUUCCCCAAUAUGUUUAACUUCUUUCUUCCCCAUGUUUUUUCCUCACCAUUGCAUUUAAAAGCUGACAGUGCACCUUUCUAAAUUCCUUCUACUAAAUUGUGAAAUUAUUUGUUCAUUCACACAGAAAAGAGAAUGCUCCCCCAUAAACUUGACAUCUCCCACUGAUUUCUUAAAUUAUUUGUUCAUUCUCGGAUUUUUUUUAUUUGUUCUCAAAUAUGUCUUCAUGAGUUGUUUAAGCCUUACUUCUACCAUGGGUUACAUUAUGCGGAAGACAAAGGGUUUGAUUCUAAAUCCAGCCAAAGUUCAGCAUCACUGAUAAGGCGAAUUGGCUGAGAUCUACCAAAAAAAAAGUGAAUGUGAAGAAAAGGCAAUAAGACAGAUUAUUAUUGGUCAAUGAAUGAAGAUGCUUGCAGCCUCCAAGCUUCCGCAUGUGCUUUCCUUCAGUGCCAUUAUUAUUGACAUGAAAUUAGGUUUAGGGGCAUGGAUAGGAAUAGACUGCCACCAUUGUUGACUGUUUUGGUGUGUUCGGUAUUCUGAGAUUGAUUUGUAGGAAGUAGGCUUUGGCCUCCACUUUAAAUGUUUGGAAAGAUUUGAGUUGUCAUUGUGGAUCUACAAUAAAUAUUAAAUAGUUAUAUUUUGUUUCUGA